AGCCUGAAGAGACGCAAAAGCACACAGAUUCAAAAUAUAAGAGAAAACAUAACAAAAAGACACCGAAUCACAACAAUCAGAGCAGCAUUUCAGUUUGAUUCCAGUGUGCAGACCAUCAGUACAUCAUCAACGCCAAAUUUGUUGUUUGACCGACUUUUGACUGCAUAACUUGAGUUGAAAUCAUGUCUGACAUCGAUAACAAACUCUGACCAGGCGUCUCCAUGCUGCAGAUUUCUGCGGAGGUUUCCAGGUUGACGUGAUGUGCCGACACAUACCUGCACCAGAAAACCCUGGUGAGGAUGAGAGCGCCGAGCUGCAGGUGAUGUGUGCUGCACAAGGUGGACGAUGAUAUACAUCAAAGACAUGUGAGGGCUGCGUUCAGCAUCCGAGCUGCGUCACAGGGAUGUUUCACACGUGUUUUAUGAUGCGUGUUGUGUAUCUGGCUGCGACCGUUUCCCCUUUAGACCCACAACAAGAGUUGAGCCGAGCUGCACCAGCGAUGGACCUGCUCCGAUGUACCGUCCGUCCAGUGCAGACGUCUUGUGACUUCAGGCAACAGUCACCACGCCAACAGGAACGCUCCGUCUAUAUUCCAUACCUUCGCUUAACGCUGACGAGGGCUGUAAACACAACAUUAAGCUGCCACCGGCUCUUCAGUUUUCACACUGGAACUGAAUCUCUCCAGGAGAAAAUCAACACAGAUAUCUGAGUGAUGUGUUCUGGGCGCUGCCUGUGACGGAGCCUGUGGAUCUACGAUUAUUUCACCAUUUCAUGGGAAACUCUGACUUCACACAUUGAAUUCUUUGAGCAGAUCUUUUCGGGAGUGCUCGUGCGUUUUUGUCGCUUUGAUAAAAUGCCUCGGAUGACGUCACGCGAGUCAGCGUCUGCGAGACGUCUGUAGCCUCGUCACCUCUGCUUGAAGCUAACUAGCCGCUACUAGCGUAACAAACCUGAAUCUCCAUCCAAUCAUCAUCAAUAGUAGUAUGUUGAUCUAUAAAUGUCCCGUCCUGAGGUCCAGUGCGCCCGGGCUGAAGGUUCUGACUUGAACACGACAGGAGGAUUAAUGUGUGUUAACAGAAUAUUGAACUGGGGAACAUAGCUGCACUCCCAGAAUGCAACGCUAAAUCGAUACUCGUGUACUCUUAAUCAAUGUCGUUAACAUGAUCAAUUCAACAAGAAACCUCAGAAUUAAUUACUUCUGUCUCUUUGAGGGACCAGUU